rnacentral:rRNA from 1 species
UACGGAGGGGACUAGCGUUGUUCGGAAUUACUGGGCGUAAAGGGCGCGUAGGCGGCGUGUCAAGUCAGGCGUGAAAGCCCCGGGCUCAACCUGGGAACCGCGCUUGAGACUGGCAUGCUCGAGUUCGGGAGAGGAUGGUGGAAUUCCCAGUGUAGAGGUGAAAUUCGUAGAUAUUGGGAAGAACACCGAUGGCGAAGGCAGCCAUCUGGACCGACACUGACGCUGAGGCGCGAAAGCGUGGGGAGCAAACAGG